ACGGAAGGCAGCAGUGGGGAAUAUUGGGCAAUGGGCGAAAGCCUGACCCAGCGACGCCGCGUGAGGGAAGAAGGUCUUCGGAUUGUAAACCUCUUUCAGCAGGGAAGAAGGAAGUGACGGUACCUGCAGAAGAAGUCACGGCUAACUACGUGCCAGCAGCCGCGGUAAUACGUAGGUGGCGAGCGUUAUCCGGAAUUACUGGGUGUAAAGGGUGUGUAGGCGGAGAAGCAAGUCAGGCGUGAAAAUCGCGGGCUCAACCCGGAAAGUGCGCUUGAAACUGUUUUCCUUGAGAGUGGGAGAGGUAAACGGAAUUCCUGGUGUAGUAGUGAAAUGCGUAGAUAUCAGGAGGAACACCGGUGGCGAAGGCGGUUUACUGGACCACAACUGACGCUGAGACACGAAAGCGUGGGGAGCAAACAGGAUUAGAUACCCUGGUA
rnacentral:rRNA from 1 species